rnacentral:rRNA from 1 species
AACAAACGCUGGCGGCGUGCCUAACACAUGCAAGUCGUACGAGAAAGUCGGCUUCGGCCGAUGAGUACAGUGGCGCACGGGUGAGUAGCGCGUGGGUAAUCUGCCCCUCGGUCAGGAAUAACCCGCCGAAAGGCGGGCUAAUACCCGAUAACACUGACGCUCUGCGGAGUGUCUUUCAAAGAAGGCCUCUGUUUACAAGCUUUCGCCGGAGGAUGAGCCCGCGUACCAUUAGCUAGUUGGCAGGGUAAUGGCCUACCAAGGCAACGAUGGUUAGCUGGUCUGAGAGGAUGGCCAGCCACACUGGAACUGAGACACGGUCCAGACUCCUACGGGAGGCAGCAGUGAGGAAUCUUGCGCAAUGGGGGAAACCCUGACGCAGCAACGCCGCGUGAGUGAGGAAGGCUUUCGGGUCGUAAAGCUCUGUCAGAUGGGAAGAAAUGGAUGGAAGCCAAUACCUUUCAUUCUUGACGGUACCAUCAGAGGAAGCACCGGCUAACUCCGUGCCAGCAGCCGCCGUAAGAC